rnacentral:rRNA from 1 species
GGGUUGUGAGGUUAAGCGACUAAGCGUACACGGUGGAUGCCCUGGCAGUCAGAGGCGAUGAAGGACGUGCUAAUCUGCGAUAAGCGUCGGUAAGGUGAUAUGAACCGUUAUAACCGGCGAUUUCCGAAUGGGGAAACCCAGUGUGAUUCGUCACACUAUCAUUAACUGAAUCCAUAGGUUAAUGAGGCGAACCGGGGGAACUGAAACAUCUAAGUACCCCGAGGAAAAGAAAUCAACCGAGAUUCCCCCAGUAGCGGCGAGCGAACGGGGAGGAGCCCAGAGCCUGAAUCAGUGUGUGUGUUAGUGGAAGCGUCUGGAAAGGCGCGCGAUACAGGGUGACAGCCCCGUACACAAAAAUGCACAUACUGUGAGCUCGAUGAGUAGGGCGGGACACGUGGUAUCCUGUCUGAAUAUGGGGGGACCAUCCUCCAAGGCUAAAUACUCCUGACUGACCGAUAGUGAACCAGUACCGUGAGGGAAAGGCGAAAAGAACCCCGGCGAGGGGAGUGAAAAAGAACCUGAAACCGUGUACGUACAAGCAGUGGGAGCCUCUUUAUGGGGUGACUGCGUACCUUUUGUAUAAUGGGUCAGCGACUUAUAUUCUGUAGCAAGGUUAACCGAAUAGGGGAGCCGAAGGGAAACCGAGUCUUAACUGGGCGUUAAGUUGCAGGGUAUAGACCCGAAACCCGGUGAUCUAGCCAUGGGCAGGUUGAAGGUUGGGUAACACUAACUGGAGGACCGAACCGACUAAUGUUGAAAAAUUAGCGGAUGACUUGUGGCUGGGGGUGAAAGGCCAAUCAAACCGGGAGAUAGCUGGUUCUCCCCGAAAGCUAUUUAGGUAGCGCCUCGUGAAUUCAUCUCCGGGGGUAGAGCACUGUUUCGGCAAGGGGGUCAUCCCGACUUACCAACCCGAUGCAAACUGCGAAUACCGGAGAAUGUUAUCACGGGAGACACACGGCGGGUGCUAACGUCCGUCGUGAAGAGGGAAACAACCCAGACCGCCAGCUAAGGUCCCAAAGUCAUGGUUAAGUGGGAAACGAUGUGGGAAGGCCCAGACAGCCAGGAUGUUGGCUUAGAAGCAGCCAUCAUUUAAAGAAAGCGUAAUAGCUCACUGGUCGAGUCGGCCUGCGCGGAAGAUGUAACGGGGCUAAACCAUGCACCGAAGCUGCGGCAGCGACACUAUGUGUUGUUGGGUAGGGGAGCGUUCUGUAAGCCUGUGAAGGUGUACUGUGAGGUAUGCUGGAGGUAUCAGAAGUGCGAAUGCUGACAUAAGUAACGAUAAAGCGGGUGAAAAGCCCGCUCGCCGGAAGACCAAGGGUUCCUGUCCAACGUUAAUCGGGGCAGGGUGAGUCGACCCCUAAGGCGAGGCCGAAAGGCGUAGUCGAUGGGAAACAGGUUAAUAUUCCUGUACUUGGUGUUACUGCGAAGGGGGGACGGAGAAGGCUAUGUUGGCCGGGCGACGGUUGUCCCGGUUUAAGCGUGUAGGCUGAUUUUCCAGGCAAAUCCGGAAAAUCAAGGCUGAGGCGUGAUGACGAGGCACUACGGUGCUGAAGCAACAAAUGCCCUGCUUCCAGGAAAAGCCUCUAAGCAUCAGGUAACAUCAAAUCGUACCCCAAACCGACACAGGUGGUCAGGUAGAGAAUACCAAGGCGCUUGAGAGAACUCGGGUGAAGGAACUAGGCAAAAUGGUGCCGUAACUUCGGGAGAAGGCACGCUGAUAUGUAGGUGAAGCGACUUGCUCGUGGAGCUGAAAUCAGUCGAAGAUACCAGCUGGCUGCAACUGUUUAUUAAAAACACAGCACUGUGCAAACACGAAAGUGGACGUAUACGGUGUGACGCCUGCCCGGUGCCGGAAGGUUAAUUGAUGGGGUUAGCGGUAACGCGAAGCUCUUGAUCGAAGCCCCGGUAAACGGCGGCCGUAACUAUAACGGUCCUAAGGUAGCGAAAUUCCUUGUCGGGUAAGUUCCGACCUGCACGAAUGGCGUAAUGAUGGCCAGGCUGUCUCCACCCGAGACUCAGUGAAAUUGAACUCGCUGUGAAGAUGCAGUGUACCCGCGGCAAGACGGAAAGACCCCGUGAACCUUUACUAUAGCUUGACACUGAACAUUGAGCCUUGAUGUGUAGGAUAGGUGGGAGGCUUUGAAGUGUGGACGCCAGUCUGCAUGGAGCCGAC